rnacentral:rRNA from 1 species
ACACGAGUGGCGAACGGGUGAGUAACACGUGGGUGAUCUGCCCUGCACUCUGGGAUAAGCCUGGGAAACUGGGUCUAAUACCGGAUAUGAGCUCCUGUCGCAUGGCGGGGGUUGGAAAGGUUUACUGGUGCAGGAUGGGCCCGCGGCCUAUCAGCUUGUUGGUGGGGUAAUGGCCUACCAAGGCGACGACGGGUAGCCGGCCUGAGAGGGCGACCGGCCACACUGGGACUGAGACACGGCCCAGACUCCUACGGGAGGCAGCAGUGGGGAAUAUUGCACAAUGGGCGAAAGCCUGAUGCAGCGACGCCGCGUGAGGGAUGACGGCCUUCGGGUUGUAAACCUCUUUCAGCAGGGACGAAGCGAGAGUGACGGUACCUGCAGAAGAAGCACCGGCCAACUACGUGCCAGCAGCCGCGGUAAUACGUAGGGUGCGAGCGUUGUCCGGAAUUACUGGGCGUAAAGAGCUCGUAGGCGGUUUGUCGCGUCGUCCGUGAAAACUUGGGGCUCAACCCCAAGCUUGCGGGCGAUACGGGCAGACUUGAGUACUGCAGGGGAGACUGGAAUUCCUGGU